rnacentral:rRNA from 1 species
UACGAAGGGGGCUAGCGUUGCUCGGAAUUACUGGGCGUAAAGCGCGCGCAGGCGGUUCUUUAAGUCAGGGGUGAAAGCCCAGAGCUCAACUCUGGAAUUGCCUUUGAAACUAGAGAACUUGGGUACGGGAGAGGUGAGUGGAAUUCCGAGUGUAGAGGUGAAAUUCGUAGAUAUUCGGAAGAACACCAGUGGCGAAGGCGGCUCACUGGCCCGUUACCGACGCUCAGGCGCGACAGCGUGGGGAGCAAACAGG